ACAACGGUGUCUUUGGACACCACCACUGCUCUCAGAUCAUUUCUU
rfam:Picea glauca, whole genome shotgun sequence.